rnacentral:rRNA from 1 species
AAGACGUAUGGCCACCCAUGCCGAGCAGCCCCACAACAAAAAAGCGAACAAGCCUAAUGGUACCUGGCCACGAUGUCUUCGGUUGGGGCGACCGCGGAGGAAAACCUAGCCUCCAUGUGGACCGGGGGGACUAUUACUACCCCUAAAGCCAAGAGACACACCUCUAAGCAACAGAACAUCUGACCAAAAAUGAUCCGGGCCAAAGCCCGAUCAACGAACCAAGUUACCCCAGGGAUAACAGCGCAAUCCUUUCCAAGAGUCCCUAUCGACGAAAGGGUUUACGACCUCGAUGUUGGAUCAGGACAUCCUAAUGGUGCAGCCGCUAUUAAG